GGAGGGCCUACAAGGCGACGACGGGUAGCCGGCCUGAGAGGGUGACCGGCCACACUGGGACUGAGACACGGCCCAGACUCCUACGGGAGGCAGCAGUGGGGAAUAUUGCACAAUGGGCGCAAGCCUGAUGCAGCGACGCCGCGUGGGGGAUGACGGCCUUCGGGUUGUAAACCCCUUUCGGCAGGGAACAAGCCCCUUGGGGUGAGGGUACCUGCGGAAGAAGCGCCGAGCUAACUACGUGCCAGCAGCCGCGUGUAAUACGUAGGGCGCGAGCGUUAUCCGUGAAUUAUUGGGCGUAAAGAGCUCGUAGGCGGUUUGUCGCGUCUGCUGUGAAAGCCCGGGGCUCAACCCCGGGUCUGCAGUGGGUACGGGCAGGCUGGAGUGCAGUAAGGGAGACUGGAAUUCCUGGUGUAGCGGUGAAAUGCGCAGAUAUCAGGAGGAACACCGAUGGCGAAGGCAGGUCUCUGGGCUGUAACUGACGCUGAGGAGCGAAAGCAUGGGGAGCGAACAGGAUUACAUACCCUGGUAGUCCAUGCCGUAAACGUUGGGCACUAUGUGUGGGGGCCAUUCCACGGUUUCCGCGCCGCAGCUAACGCAUUAAGUGCCCCGCCUGGGGAGUACGGCCGCAAGGCUAAAACUCAAAUGAAUUGACGGGGGCCCACACAAGCGGCUGAGCAUGCGGAUUAAUUCAAUGCAACGCGAAGAACCUUACCAAGGCUUGACAUGUGACCGGACCGGUCCCACAAGAUGGGGGCUUCCCUUUCAGGGGCCGGGUUCACAGGCUGGGUGCAUGGAUUAUCGUCAACCUCAUGGUCAUGGAGAUGUUUGGGUCAAGUCCCCGCAACCAAGCGCUACCCCUCGGUUCCAUGGUUGCCAUCACCUUCGGGUUGGGGACCCCUGGGGAAAACUGCCGGGGGUCAACCUCCGAAGGAAGGGGGGGACCAACGUCCAAAUCCUCCAUGGCCCCUUUUGGCCUUGGGCUUACCGCAUUGCUACCAAUGGCCGGUACAAAUGGAUUGCCA
rnacentral:rRNA from 1 species